AGAGUUUGAUCAUGGCUCAGAACGAACGCUGGCGGCAGGCUUAACACAUGCAAGUCGAACGCAUGUCUUCGGACAUGAGUGGCAGACGGGUGAGUAACGCGUGGGAACGUACCCUUCAGUUCGGAAUAACCCAGGGAAACUUGGGCUAAGACCGGAUACGUCCGUAAGGAGAAAGAUUUAUCGCUGAAGGAUCGGCCCGCGUCGGAUUAGCUGGUUGGUGGGGUAACGGCCCACCAAGGCGACGAUGCGUAGCCGACCUGAGAGGGUGAACGGCCACACUGGGACUGAGACACGGCCCAGACUCCUACGGGAGGCAGCAGUAGGGAAUCUUCCGCAAUGGACGCAAGUCUGACGGAGCAACGCCGCGUGAGUGAUGAAGGUUUUCGGAUCGUAAAGCUCUGUUGCCAAGGAAGAACGGCAGAGGGAGUAACUGCCCUUUGUUUGACGGUACUUGAGAAGAAAGCCCCGGCUAACUACGUGCCAGCAGCCGCGGUAAUACGUAGGGGGCAAGCGUUGUCCGGAAUUAUUGGGCGUAAAGCGCGCGCAGGCGGUUUUUUAAGUCUGGUGUUUAAUCCCGGGGCUCAACCCCGGUUCGCACUGGAAACUGGGAGACUGGAGUGUAGGAGAGGAAAGUGGAAUUCCACGUGUAGCGGUGAAAUGCGUAGAGAUGUGGAGGAACACCAGUGGCGAAGGCGACUUUCUGGCCUAUAACUGACGCUGAGGCGCGAAAGCGUGGGGAGCAAACAGGAUUAGAUACCCCCGUAGUCC
rnacentral:rRNA from 1 species